rnacentral:rRNA from 1 species
AUUGAACGCUGGCGGCAGGCCUAACACAUGCAAGUCGAGCGGAGCGGCGGACUGGUGGGUCAUGCCUAGCAAUCUGCCUGGUCGUGGGGGAUAACGUCCGGAAACGGGCGCUAAUACCGCAUACUAUCAGAUGAGCCUAGGUCGGAGUAGCUAGUUGGUGGGGUAAAGGCCUACCAAGGCGAAGAUCCGUAACUGGUCUUAGAGGAUGAUCAGUCACACUGGAACUGAGACACGGUCCAGACUCCUACGGUCGGCAGCAGUGGGGAAUAUUGGACAAUGGGCGAAAUCCGUAUCCCGCCAUGCCGCGUGAUUUAAGAAGGUCUUCGGAUUGUAAAGCUCAGUAGGUUAUGAGACGGGACCAACACAAUAAGCACCGGCUAACUUCAUGCCAGCAGCCGCGGUAAUAC